UAUUCAUCACCAACUCAGGAUGCUAUAGUGGAGGAACUUAGUCUCUCUACGGCUGAGGUAUGUCGAAUUUACCUGCGAGUGUUGAGAAGCACAUGUCGCGUUGUCUUUGUUUGUUGCUUCGAUUCAAUAUCGGACUUGUCACUGAAGGCGCCCAUAUACAAGAAAAUCAAAGUAAAGAUCUGCUCAUAUUCCGGGUCCAUAAUAUGGACGAGUUAUAUGAUCAAAAACUUUGUAAACGAGACUCUCUCAAAAAUAAGGAUGUGGGCUUUGAGGUAGAGAUACUUCUUUCUCUAGACAUCUUAUUUUUUCUGCAUUGUAACGAGUGAAAUGUAUACCAAGUUUUCACAUCGAGUUCCAUUGUUGGACACCUCAGGACAAGAAAACCAAAAAAUGGGGAGAUUUAGAUUGGGUAUUGUCAGCUGAAAAUUGCGACUGCAUAUCAUUCAGGUUUCUGAUCGAAGUGAUAGUAUUCAGUCUUUGGAUCCAUACUGACAUUCGGUGCAAUGAUUGGUGCAAUUACCGGAGGACCAAUCGCUGAUUUUGUUGGCCGUAAAUGGACAAUGAGAAUAGCGAGCG